GCUUCCGUGGCGCAAUUGGCAGCGCGUCUGACUGUUAAUCAGGAGGUUGGUGGUUCGAGCCCACCCGGGAGCG
rfam:Phycomyces blakesleeanus NRRL 1555(-) unplaced genomic scaffold PHYBLscaffold_10, whole genome shotgun sequence.